UACGUAGGGUGCGAGCGUUAAUCGGAAUUACUGGGCGUAAAGCGUGCGCAGGCGGUUUGCUAAGUCAGGCGUGAAAGCCCUGGGCUUAACCUAGGAAUGGCGUUUGAAACUAGCGAGCUGGAGUGCGGCAGAGGGGGGUGGAAUUCCUGGUGUAGGAGUGAAAUCCGUAGAUAUCAGGAGGAACACCGGUGGCGAAGGCGGCUGCCUGGACCGAUAUUGACGCUGAGACGCGAAAGCGUGGGGAGCAAACAGG
rnacentral:rRNA from 1 species